rnacentral:misc_RNA from 1 species
UUUGACAUUUUUUAAUAGCUAAGGUACCUGUGCACCGAAGUGCUGGUUGCCUCAGUGCUAAGUACUUCAUGGUUCAUAUUUUGGAACGCUUGCACGUCGCAAAAAAGUAGUCAUUGUGGGCAACCGAAGUCGCCAUAAAUAUUAAAGGUCCGCGGGACGCAAAAGUCAAGACCAGGAAUUACUCCCCAGUCUCUCCUUCUGAUGUUUGCUAUUGACCGAGGUCAAUAGACUUUAGGUGUGGUAAUGAUCCUUCCGCAGGUUCACCUACGGAAA